GAAGGACCUGUUAACAGAGAAGAGCAUGUUGGCAGCUACACCUUUCCCAUGUUGAAUUCAGUGUAAUCCUUUCUAUGAGUCCCUCAGAAAGCAAUGGCUUUUCACUCCGAUUCAUUGUGUCAUCCUGACUUAACCUGCUGUGAGAGAAGUCAUUAAAGGAGCAAGCACGCUCGCUUCCAGGCUGUUGAAAAGGAGUUUGGCUGGCUGUUUAUUAAAACACAAAAAGAGAACAUUACAAGGCCCUUCCAGAGAAUUUGUCCCUACAGAAGUUUACUAAGGAAUCCAAUGAUAAGUCUGGAUGGCAGUUACUUUGGAACUUUGGGGAAAUAUGAGCCAUCAAUUAUGUCUGCCACCUGCUCUGAUGUGUGUGUAUGCUGGACUCAGCUAAUCUGCUGCAGUGGUGUUCCACCACCAGUUCAAGAUUUGUGCUUUUCAUCCCUCCUGAGCGAGUCUCUAUGUAAUUUCAUUUAUUUAAUGUAAUAAUUAUUAUUAGAUUUUUUAACUUUCUAAUUAAAUUUCAACCAAUGUCUCUAAAAUGUAUCCAUCAUUCAUUUCAACAUUAAACCAUUACUAUAGUGAAAGAAUUUCUGUGUUUUCACCACUGACCUGAGCCUUCAAGCUCUCCUUCAUUUGCAAGCAGUGACUAUUCGGUGAUUGCAUAAUUAGUUGCUGUUACAUUGAAUCAGGUGUCAAUUUCAAGCAGAAUGUAAGUACAGACUGAGUAAUUUUCACUCACAAAUAAAGAAAGUUCUGCAUUCAUUUAUUGAAAAACUCAUGGACAGGCCCACCUGGACUCCAAUUUCAUCUGAAGUCCAGCUGGUCCUGCGGCAUUCCUUUAGAGUAGGAACUCUGUGUCUUGCAUGAAUUUUAAGAUAAAAAAAACCAAAUAAAUAAAAUUAGAAAACAUAAACAAAAGGGGUCUUUGUUUGCUUAAGCCAAUCACGCAUUACCCACACAUGUCUAAAUACUGUAGUUGUGUAUUCAGAGGGAGUUAUGGGGCAGAUGAGGGGUCAUCUCAGUGAUUAACUGGAAAGAGAAACAAGUGCUUCUCAUUUAUAAAGCUGCUCUAGCUAAUUGACAGUUAUGCAAAUAGACGUCACACUAAUGAAAGUAGUGAGAUAAUGGGUUCAGUUAAGCAUGGAGUGUAUGCUGGUGCACACGAGUAUGUGUCGACAGGAGUCUCCCAUAUCAAUCUUACUGUCCAGUGAUGUGGUUAAGCACAGCCCUUAAACACAGGCCUU